rnacentral:rRNA from 1 species
UACGGAGGGGGCUAGCGUUGUUCGGAAUUACUGGGCAUAAAGCGCACGUAGGCGGCUUUGUAAGUUAGAGGUGAAAGCCCGGAGCUCAACUCCGGAAUUGCCUUUAAGACUGCAUCGCCAGAAUCGUAGAGAGGUGAGUGGAAUUCCGAGUGUAGAGGUGAAAUUCGUAGAUAUCGGGAGGAACACCUGUGGCGAAAGCGGCUCACUGGACCACAACUGACGCUGAGGCGCGAAAGUGUGGGUAGCAAAC